rnacentral:lncRNA from 1 species
UUUUUUUUUUUUUUUUUUUUUUUUGAGACGGAGUCUCGCUCUGUAGCCCAGGCUGGAGUGCAGUGGCCGGAUCUCAGCUCACUGCAAGCUCCGCCUCCCGGGUUCACGCCAUUCUCCGGCCUCAGCCUCCCGAGUAGCUGGGACUACAGGUGCCCGCCACCUCACCUUGUAUUUCUUAGUAGAGACGGGGUUUCACCGUGUUAGCCAGGAUGGUCUCGAUCUCCUGACCUCGUGAUCCGCCCGUCUCGGCCUCCCAAAGUGCUGGGAUUACAGGCUUGAGCCACCGCGCCCGGCCUUGGGAACAGUCCUGGACAGUCUGCCUCAAACUUUCGGAUUUAUUUAAAAUGACUUCUCUUUCACCCGUAGCUCCUUGCAAGCACCCAAGCUCACUUACCAGGCUGUGGGUGCACAAGGGGGUGGCUCUAGGGGCUGACUUUGGGUGCGGGGGUCAUGCUGCCAUUGGAACGUACCUUGGCCUGUGGGACACUUGGGUUAUCCUCUGUCCCCAAAUUUAAAACCAUAUUGAAAGAAGGCAAGAAAAUAUUUUCCUGAGGAAGUAACUGGCACGAUGGCCGCCUUCACUUAGUGGCACUAUUAUUUGCAGCUACCAAGAACUGUCAGGCUCUCUCCUUAUGGGGAAGGACAAAGAAUGGGCAAAAGCUACAUCUGGGGGACUCGUGCCCAGGAGAAAUGACCAGCCUACAGCUCUCUUUGUCUUCCUCUACUUGUCCCUUAAAAUUUAGGACCCCACAAAGCCCCCUUCUUCCCUGCUACCUUAAGCCCUUCUCUCUCCAACAUGCAAAAUCCCCACCUAAACUUUGUCAGUGAUUUUGAUGACUCAGUCUGGUACCUUUUUCCCUGGAAGGGUACAGGGGGUGAGGUGGAGGGAAAGGUGAGGGAGAUGGCCUUUUCUCGCCUUCUCUCUGCCCAAGACUCAACAAAUUAACUGCCUAGAGGGAGGCCGUGAGGGGGCCUCCAUUCCACAGGACCAAGUUGGCCCAAUUCCUUUCUCUGGGAGCCUGCAAGCCACCUGGGUAGCCCCUGGAUAUUUGCUCUGCCAUGCGGGGGAGGAAGAUCCCUGGGGGAGUUUGGAAAAUAGGUUGGGGUGGGGGUGGGGGUGGGGGAUGGGGGGCAAGGACAGCUUUUUGACAAUGUUGCCUGUCUGCUUUUAAACAUAUCACAUGUGCACAAGAAUCCAAAUGGAAGAAAUGGAAAACAAACAGCAAAAGAAAACAUAACAUUUUUAUAAGCAAGAUGGGCUGUGGCUCUGGAUACCUGGCUCGGAUUUCUCAGUCCCCAAGCAGGCCACGGGGACUGCAGCAAACAGAGCCACAGAAACAACCCACCCACCCACCAAUUAAAGUCAAACCAGCCCCAAACCCCUCCCCAGGAGAAAUGGGGACAGCCAGAAAACUUGUCUGUCCUUGUCUCCUCUUUCUUCCUAACCUUUCUAUUUCUCUGAGGUGUUUGAAGGUUUUCUUAUAACAAAAACAAACAUGGAAAAAAAUAAAGUCCUGUACCGUGAAAGUAACAAUAACAAUAAUCAUCCGGUAAAAAAUAAAAGCUUCAGCAGAACUGUUAUGAGUGUCUUUUUUUUUUCUGCUUGUUCAAUUUUUUUCUCAACUGUGCAAAAAAAAAUCAAAACACACUCACUCAUACACACGUUCACACACGCAGCUUCCAUCCAGCAAAUCUGUGUUAAAUAUGUUCGUGUCUCUUUCCUCCCCAACCCUUCAUAUGUGCAAAAAUAUUUUAGUGACCGAGGUACUUCCUCAGACCGUCUUCCACAUGCACCCUUUCUGGCCUUCCAGGUCCCGUAACUUCUUGGGAGGGAAUAAAAUGAUCAAGGAUAGAAAAAUCCAAGCUUCUCCACCUGGUACUGCACUUGCCAAAACCUUUGGUUAUUUUUUCUUCCUCUUCCAAUGCAUUGUUUCCCAUUUUCCUCUUCCCGUUAGGUUGCUCGUGUCUUUUCCACCAUCUGUCCUUUGCGAUGUCACAUGAUGCCCUGUGCCAAGGUCCAGGCCUCGGCAGGUGACCACCCUGAUUUCCUAUGGACAAGUGACCUCUCCUUCCACCCGCCAGUUCUCAGCAUAGAAAGCAAGGGUUGAAAUGUCCUGAAGCUGCAGGAUGAAUGGAUGAGCAAGGGGAAAGAGAAGGGGAACACCGAAAAUCCUCCUACAAAGGACAAGGAAUCCUUUUGCGCUUUCUGCCUACACCUGGGGCAGACACACACACGCAUGCACAUGCGCUCACACACAUGUGCACAUAUUCAUAUCCAAAGGGGCAAGUGUUCGUAAAAGUACUGGAUGCUCCAUGGACUUUGCUGGAGAUGGUGUGGUUUCUUCCCCAAGUGGGGCUCAUUCUGAGAGGGUGACAAGGAAUGAUGUCUGAUGUUUGGGGAGUGAAGGCAAGACUGUGAAUCCUUCUCCUUAACCUCACCUAAGAUGAUGUUUCUUCUUGUCUCCCAUAGUGGUGAACAACUCCAGAGCAGAGGUGCCAACAGAGACUCCUGCUUAGGGUGGGAGACCGGACCAGACAGCACCUAAGGUCUCCUUAGGAUGAAAGGUUCCUAAAACCCUCCAUUAGACCAUUUCUCCCCAUAUCCUCUAGCUUACCUAGUAUCCAUUUCUAGGCACACAUUUGCCCACCUGGCUAAAAUCGUGCAUCUGUAGAUGUAAGAACAGAUGGGGAGAUGGAUGCCAAGGCCGAGGUCAUUUGUA